UGCCAGCCGCCGCGGUAAUACGGAGGGGGUUAGCGUUGUUCGGAAUUACUGGGCGUAAAGCGCACGUAGGCGGACUGGAAAGUUGGGGGUGAAAUCCCAGGGCUCAACCCUGGAACUGCCUCCAAAACUAUCAGUCUAGAGUUCGAGAGAGGUGAGUGGAAUUCCGAGUGUAGAGGUGAAAUUCGUAGAUAUCGGGAGGAACACCAGUGGCGAAGGCGGCUGCCUGGCCAGAUACUGACACUGAAGCGCGAAAGCGUGGGGAGCAAACAGGAUUAGAUA
rnacentral:rRNA from 1 species